rnacentral:rRNA from 1 species
UACGUAGGGCGCAAGCGUUGUCCGGAAUUAUUGGGCGUAAAGAGCUCGUAGGCGGUUUGUCGCGUCUGUCGUGAAAGCUUGGGGCUUAACCCCAAGUCUGCGGUGGAUACGGGCAGACUAGAGGCAGGUAGGGGAGAACGGAAUUCCCGGUGUAGCGGUGAAAUGCGUAGAUAUCAGGAGGAACACCUGUGGUGUAGACGGCUUACUGGACCACUACUGACGCUGAGGCACGAAAGCGUGGGGAGCAAACAGG